UACAGAGGGGGCAAGCGUUAUUCGGAAUUAUUGGGCGUAAAGGGCGCGUAGGCGGCUUGGCAAGUGGAAGGUGAAAUCCCUCGGCUUAACCGAGGAACUGCCCUCCAAACUGCUUAGCUUGAGACCGGGAGAGGUGAGUGGAAUUCCCAGUGUAGCGGUGAAAUGCGUAGAUAUUGGGAGGAACACCAGUGGCGAAGGCGGCUCACUGGACCGGUACUGACCGCUGAUGACGCGAAAGCGGGUGGGGAGCAAAACGGGG
rnacentral:rRNA from 1 species